rnacentral:rRNA from 1 species
GCUUGUCUCAAAGAUUAAGCCAUGCAUGUCUAAGUAUAAACGAUUUUAUACGUGAAACUGCGAAUGGCUCAUUAUAUCAGUUAUAGUUUAUUUGAUGGUCCUUACUACUUGGAUAACCGUAGUAAUUCUAGAGCUAAUACAUGCUAAAAACCCCGACUUCGGGAGGGGUGUAUUUAUUAGAUAAAAAACCAAUGCCCCUCGGGGCUCCUUGGUGAAUCAUAAUAACUUAACGAAUCGCAUGGCCUUGCGCCGGCGAUGGUUCAUUCAAAUUUCUGCCCUAUCAACUUUCGAUGGUAGGAUAGUGGCCUACCAUGGUGGCAACGGGUAACGGGGAAUUAGGGUUCGAUUCCGGAGAGGGAGCCUGAGAAACGGCUACCACAUCCAAGGAAGGCAGCAGG